UACGUAGGGUGCGAGCGUUAAUCGGAAUACUGGGCGUAAAGCGUGCGCAGGCGGUUUUGUAAGCCAGGUGUGAAAUCCCCGGGCUCAACCUGGGAAUGGCAUUUGGGACUGCAAGGCUGGAGUGCGGCAGAGGAGACUGGAAUUCCUGGUGUAGCAGUGAAAUGCGUAGAUAUCAGGAGGAAUACCGAUGGCGAAGGCAGGUCUCUGGGCUGACACUGACGCUCAUGCACGAAAGCGUGGGA
rnacentral:rRNA from 1 species